rnacentral:rRNA from 1 species
GAUCGCUGUGAUGCGGGCGGUUCGCCGCUCGUGACACUGCGAGAAGUCCAUUGAACCUUAUCAUUUAGAGGAAGGAGAAGUCGUAACAAGGUUUCCGUAGGUGAACCUGCGGAAGGAUCAUUGUCGAGAUCAAAGAACAUCGAGCGAUCUUGAGAACAUGUUAGAUUAAGCGGAGUUCUUGCCGCCAUAAAACAAUCUAUCCUUAUCAUUGACAAAUUCCAUUGUGGAUCCAGUAUGAUUAAGGAUGGAUAAACACUCAAAUCGGCGCAGUGUUGCGCCAAGGUACAAGUGAAACACGAGCCCAUAAAUGGGCUUGGUGGCAUGUAGUGCUAAUGCACGCACUUGAAUUUACACGACUCUCGGCAAUGGAUAUCUCGGCUCUUGCAUCGAUGAAGAGCGCAGCGAAAUGCGAUACGUGGUGCGAAUUGCAGAAUCCCGUGAACCAUCGAGUAUUUGAACGCAAGUUGCGCCCGAGGCCAUCUGGCUAAGGGCACGCCUACCUGGGCGUCAAGCGUUGUGUUACUCCAUGUCAUUUCCAUCCUAGUAAUGGGACGGUUGACAAAGACAUGGACGUGCAGACUGGCUCGUCGUGCCCCUUUGUGCGGCGGGCUGAAGAGCUGGUCAUCUUCUCAAGGAUGUGAGCAAUAAGAGGUGGAUUUCAACAAGGCCUAUGUUAUUGUGUCGCGUAUGCUGUAGAGAAGAUUAUACUACUUAAGGUAAUCCCAAAUCAUUCAUUGAUCAACAGAUGAUGUUUGGAAUGUGACCCCAGGAUGGGCGAGGCCACCCGCUGAGUUUAAGCAUAUCAAUAAGCGGAGGAGAAGAAACUUACGAGGAUUCCCCUAGUUUAAGCAUAUCAAUAAGCGGAGGAGAAGAAACUUACGAGGAUUCCCCUA